rnacentral:rRNA from 1 species
UACAGGGGGGGCAAGCGUUGUUCGGAAUUACUGGGCGUAAAGGGUCUGUAGGUGGCUUGCUAAGUCAGACGUGAAAUCCCUCAGCUUAACUGGGGAACUGCGUCUGAUACUGGCAAGCUUGAGUGCAGGAGAGGAACGCGGAAUUCCAGGUGUAGCGGUGAAAUGCGUAGAUAUCAGGAAGAACACCAAUGGCGAAAGCAGCUUUCUGGGACGGUACUGACGCUGAGACGCGAAAGCGUGGGGAGCGAACAGG